AAUUAAGACCCUCUUUUUCAAAGUUAUAGAUGAAUGAACAUGAUUAAAUCUCACCUCCCAUACUCUCUUAUCAGUUUCUCUCAUUGUGCUCCCUCUCUUCUUCCCAUCGCGAUUGUGAAACUUUCACCGGAUCAAACUCUAGGAUUCCCAUACAUGAUAAAAUACCGACGAAGAGGUCGAUAUGGUGGUGGCCAUUCCUCUUCUCUAUUCCCCCUCAAACUUUCCUUCCUCCAAAGCCACCCCACACCCCCCCCUUCCAAUUCCCAUCUCCAAGCCCCAUUCCGUGAAAGCAUGGUCCGACGAGCCACGUUCCGCCGUCGCCUCCCUGAUGAGUUUGGUAUGGUUCGACAAGGUUCUCAUUAAUGAGUUUUUUUUGCCUCUGUUUGGGUUUAUAAGAUUUGAUUCCAUACAUGUGGGAACAUGUGAAACAAAUCUUGAUUUAUAAGAUGUACUAUGCAGCCAUGUAGGCUAUUUAGAUGUCAUUGAAAAGAGGAAUGGUUACUCCAUAGAUCAAUUUAAGAAUGGGGUCAUAGAGUCCAGUUACUGCUCAGUUUAUUUAAGCUGGAUUCAUUGAUUGCAAUAUUAUAUGUUUCCUUUCAGAUUUUUGAUUCUUUUAGUUGCAGUGAAGAAAUCAGCAGAUUUAAUUAAGGUAUGGUGUUAUGUAAACACAUUUUCAAAACCAGGAUCCAUCUAUUAAUGGCUGGAGAAGCAAAGUGGAAUACUCUUGACAGAUGAUUUUUGUUCAUUGAGCAAGAAAAUGAAGAAUUUCAAUACAAGUUCUUGGAAAAUCUCAUCGAUUAUUUGGAGUACUAUUUUUGUGUAAUGGAAGGAGUGAUUUUGAGCUGAAUCCCUUCUCUUCUUUUGUCAUUAUUGACUUUCUUUGUUCCUCUUUAUUUGAUCUGAAUCACUUCUCUGUCAAAUCCUCAUCAAGAUUUAUAAAUUGAACUCCUUUAUCAAGAGAUUUUGAAAAUGCCCCUCAAACUAGGACGCUCUUCAUUGAUGUGCUUGGUUCUGGGCAUCUAGCUGACAAGUAGAAAAAAUCAUAUGACCUUUCUUUGAUUAAGUGAUGUGUGUAAUUUUAUGUUUGGGAAAUGUGGCUUUGUCUAGAUCAUCACUAAAAGGGGGUGAGCUUGCCCCAUAGAAGAGUUUCUUGGAAAUCUGUAGAAGAGCUUCCUUUAAUGUUAUUAAUAAUAGUUAUGAUUUUUUUUAAACGAUGUUGUUAGAAUAUAAUAUAAAACCAUUAAAGUGACCCUUACCCAACAGCUUAAGCUUUUGGGAUUAAGUGGUUAUUUGACUUGGUACCAGAGCUUUCUGAUUCAAGUCUCCCUCUGGUUUACUAGUUUAGUUUAGGGUUUCAGCCAUCGUAGGCUAACCCUUAUUUUUACCAGUUAGAAUUCCGGAAGCAACCACCGGCCGCCACCACUGCUGUUGGCUGCUGCUACCAUAGUCCGCUGCUGCCACCACUGUGUCGUGAUCAGCCGCCACCGCCAGCCGCUGCCGUCGCCGCCGGUCGCCGCUGACAAUUUUUCUGGGUUUGCUUGUUUUUAUUCCAGGAUUCCUCUUCUGUGGUUCGUUUCUGUGUUUGAGGUCUCUUGUUUCUGUUUUUUGGCCUGUUCCAGUCGGUGAGCUAGCUUUUGUGGUUGAGUAUAGGCCUCCCAAAUUGAAAUUAAAGUCUGGGGUCUUCAUUUUUUGCAGGUAGUUUAUUCAAAUGGAUUGGUCUGGUCUCUUUAAGUUCCAGAUUUUCUUUGCAGUUUUUGAUGAUUGAAGCAGCUUACUAAGGUGUCCGAAUAGGAAGGACAUUCAAGGUAUUCCAUGGGAGAACUUGAACAUGAUAGAAUGUGAUGGAAGAAUAUCCAUAUGAAGAUGUUGGUGUAGUUACAAACUCAACCAGAUAGUGGGAGAGAGAAUUGAUGUCUUUGUGAGCAUUGUGAGCUCCAAAAUCCCAUUCAAAGGAACUGGAAAGAAUAUAUUGGAGAUGACAUUCAAUAUUGUUUCUGCUGUCAAGGUCCAAAGAUUUCAAUUCAAUAACAUUUAAUUUUAUCAAUGUUAAGUAAGCUAACCUCAUUAUUUUUCUCUAAUCUCCAGUUUGCUAUUCAGAAGUGUUGCAUCUAAUUAAAAUCAAUGAUUCUGAACAGGAUGCAGGCCCGUGAGCAGAGGAAAGGGAAUGGAAUAUGUACAUGUAUACCUUAGUUUUGUUGGGAUCAGUAGUUUAUUGAACAUAAGUUUAUUGAGCAAGCAUAUCUCUAAAAUAAAUGGGAUUGGUUAAAAAUUAAUGGAUUAGUUAGAAGUCUUAGAAAUUGGAAUCGCUUACAAUUUUAUUUUAUGAAGGAUCUUUGCUAACUCAGUUAUAUGUUGUUUAGAGUCAAAUAGAGCUAGAUUUUCUAGAGCCUUUAUGAAAUUUUAUAAGUACUCAUAUCAUUCACACUGCUGCUGUAAUUCAAACUCAAAUAUCUGCAUUUUCCCUAGCCUUAUUGCUGAUUAGUUUUGGGACUUAUAUCUAUCUUUUUUAUUUGUAGGACUUGCUAAGUCAACUUUCUGGUGCAGAUAAUGAUGAGUUUGAUGGAGAAAAUUAGAAUGCUUCUGCCUUCCUUCCACAGGUUGUCAUUGGAAAGAUGAAUGCGUAGUCCAUAGAGCAAUGUUAGUUUGGGAAUUUGUCGUCGAAUGCCAUACUUUCUGGCUUUUCAAGGAAGAGAUGUUACAACAUUACAUCCAAAUAUGCAAGAACAAUAGACUCAUUAUGUUAAGUGAAAUUAGCUAAUGAAGUUUAUCAAGAAUGUUAGCUGUCACUGAAAUGGACUGAGAAGAUUAAGAACUAUCAUAGAUACUAAUCCGAUAAACAAUUCUUUGAGGCAGAUUAUUGAGGUGACACUUUGAUAUGAUGAAUUGAUGACAAUUUUAAAGGACCAAUGGUGAAAUAUGCGAUGUCACCAUGAUCUUUAGAGUUCGGGGGAUUGAGUUCCAUUUUGUAAGCAUAUUGUGACAAUUUUAACAACUUGAUUAACUUUCUUUA